rnacentral:rRNA from 1 species
ACUCCUACGGGAGGCAGCAGUGGGGAAUAUUGCACAAUGGGGAAACCCGUAGCAUGCAGCCAUGCCGCGUGUGUGAAGAAGGCCUUCGGGUUGUAAAGCACUUUCAGUAGGGAGGAAGGUAGUGUAGUUAACACCUGCAUUAUUUGACGUUACCUACAGAAGAAGCACCGGCUAACUCCGUGCCAGCAGCCGCGGUAAUACGGAGGGUGCGAGCGUUAAUCGGAAUUACUGGGCGUAAAGCGCAUGCAGGCGGCCUGUUAAGUCAGAUGUGAAAG